GAUGAACGCUGGCUACAGGCUUAACACAUGCAAGUCGAGGGGAAACGACGGGGAAGCUUGCUUCCCCGGGCGUCGACCGGCGCACGGGUGAGUAACGCGUAUCCAACCUGCCUCUGACUGAGGGAUAACCCGUCGAAAGUCGGCCUAAUACCUCAUGGCAUCGUCUGCGGGCAUCCAACGACGAUUAAAGAUUUCAUCGGUCAGAGAUGGGGAUGCGUCUGAUUAGCUUGUUGGCGGGGUAACGGCCCACCAAGGCGACGAUCAGUAGGGGUUCUGAGAGGAAGGUCCCCCAAAAUGGAACUGGGACACCGGCCAAACUCCUACGGGAGGCAGCAGUGAGGAAUAUUGGUCAAUGGGCGAGAGCCUGAACCAGCCAAGUAGCGUGCAGGAUGACGGCCCUAUGGGUUGUAAACUGCUUUUAUGCGGGGAUAAAGUGAGGGACGUGUCCUUCAUUGCAGGUACCGCAUGAAUAAGGACCGGCUAAUUCCGUG
rnacentral:rRNA from 1 species